GCUCUGUAGGACUAAAAGGACUGAUCACCCCGAUGCCCACGGUCCUGGAAGAGAAGGAAUUUCAUUGAAUGCUACCUGAUCCUGUACCAUUAACUCCCAGGUUUCCACACAAAGAAAAGAAAGGUGUGAAAUUCACCACCACCAUGCUCAUCAGGAAAUGGCUGACAUUUUACAGAAAAAAAAAAAAACAGAUCAGAGUCUGUCACAUAUAUGUUUCUA